UGGUUCUGGCAUCGAUGAAGAACGCAGCGAAAUGCGAUAAGUAAUGCGAAUUGCAGAAUUCAGUGAGUCAUCGAAUCUUUGAACGCACAUUGCGCCCUUUGGUAUUCCGAAGGGCAUGCCUGUUCGAGCGUCAUUAUCAACCCUCAAGCUCUGGCUUGUUGUUGGGUCUAAUAAGGGGGAGCCCCCCCUUAAACCCGAAAGACAAUGACGGCGUCUGAUGGAAGCCUGGUACAAUGAGUCUUUUUAGGCACGUACUGUGGUCGACCGUUGGACCCGGCCUUAUGAAUUUUUUUCUCAGGUUGACCUCGGAUCAGGUAGGAAUACCCGCUGA
rnacentral:misc_RNA from 1 species